rnacentral:rRNA from 1 species
GUUGUAGUCUGGAGAAGUGCUUUCCGUGCCGGACCGUGUAUAAGUCUCUUGGAAUAGAGCGUCAUAGAGGGUGAGAAUCCCGUCUUUGACACGGACUGCCGGUGCUUUGUGAUGCGCUCUCAAAGAGUCGAGUUGUUUGGGAAUGCAGCUCAAAAUGGGUGGUAAAUUCCAUCUAAAGCUAAAUAUUGGCGAGAGACCGAUAGCGAACAAGUACCGUGAGGGAAAGAUGAAAAGCACUUUGGAAAGAGAGUUAAACAGUACGUGAAAUUGCUGAAAGGGAAACGCUUGAAGUCAGUCGCGUCGUGCAGAACUCAACCUAGCUUUUGCUUGGUGCACUUUUUGUAUGACGGGCCAGCAUCGAUUUUGACCGUCGGAAAAGGGUUGAAGGAAUGUGGCACCUCCGGGUGUGUUAUAGCCUUCGGUCGCAUACGGCGGUUGGGAUCGAGGAACGCAGCGCGCCGCAAGGUGGGGCAUUUUGCCUACAUUCGCGCUUAGGAUGCUGGCGUAAUGGCUUUAAACGACCCGUCUUGAAACACGGACCAAGGAGUCUAACAUGCCUGCGAGUGUUUGGGUGGAAAACCCGAGCGCGUAAUGAAAGUGAAAGUUGAGACCUCUGUCGUGGAGGGCAUCGACGCCCGGACCUGAAGUUUUCUGACGGAUCCGCGGUAGAGCAUGUAUGUUGGGACCCGAAAGAUGGUGAACUAUGCCUGAAUAGGGUGAAGCCAGAGGAAACUCUGGUG